UUCCGGUUGAUCCUGCCGGAGGCGACCGCUAUUGGAGUUCGAUUAAGACAUGCGAGUCUGAGCAUUAGCUCGGCGUACCGCUCAGUAACACGUGGGUAACCUGCCCUACUGUUCGGAAUAACCUCGGGAAACUGAGAACAAUGCCGAAUAGUCCACCACGCCUGGAACGGUGGGUGGAUGAAGGUAGGAUGGGCCUGCGGCGUAUCAGGUUGUAGGGGGUGUAAUGGACCUCCUAGCCAUCGACGCGUACGGGUGUUGGGAGACAUAGCCCGGAGAUGGAUUCUGAGACACGAAUCCAGGCCCUACGGGGCGCAGCAGUUACGAAAACUUGGCAAUGCGGGAAACCGUGACCAGGGAACUCCAAGUGAGUCUCUUUUAGGGGCUCUUUUCAUGACUCUAAAACGGUCUUGGAAUAAGGGGUGGGUAAGGACGGUGCCAGCCGCCGCGGUAAUACCGGCGCCUCAAGUGGUCGUCGCUUUUAUUGGGCCUAAAACGUCCGUAGCCGGUUUGGUACAUUCGUGGGUAAAUCAACUCGCUCAACGAGUUGAAUUCUGCGAGGACGGCCAGACUAGGGACCGGGAGAGGUGUGGGGAACUCUCAGGGUAGGGGUAAAAUCCUGUCAUCCUGAGAGGACCACCUGUUGCGAAGGCGCCACACUAGAACGGAUCCGACGGUCAGGGACGAAGCCUAGGGGCACGAACCGGAUUAGAUACCCGGGUAGUCCUAGGUGUAAACGCUGUGGACUUGGUGUUGGGGAAGACUAGAGCUUUCCCAGUGCCGUAGCGAAGGUGUUGAGUCCACUGCCUGGGGAGUACGGUCGCAAGGCUGAAACUUAAAGGAAUUGGCGGGGGAGCACUGCAACCGGAGGAUUGUGCGGUUUAAUUGGAUUCAACGCCGGG
rnacentral:rRNA from 1 species